UUAAGCAUAUCAAUAAGCGGAGGAAAAGAAACCAACAGGGAUUGCCUCAGUAACGGCGAGUGAAGCGGCAAAAGCUCAAAUUUGAAAUCUGGCUCCAUGCGGAGCCCGAGUUGUAAUUUGGAGAGGACACUUCGGGUGCGGCCACGGCAUAAGUUCCUUGGAACAGGACGUCAUAGAGGGUGAGAAUCCCGUCUUUGGCUGCUGGACCGCGCCCAUGCGAAGUUCCUUCGACGAGUCGAGUUGUUUGGGAAUGCAGCUCUAAGUGGGUGGUAAAUUUCAUCUAAAGCUAAAUAUUGGCCGGAGACCGAUAGCGCACAAGUAGAGUGAUCGAAAGGUUAAAAGCACCUUGAAAAGGGAGUUAAAUAGCACGUGAAAUUGUUGAAAGGGAAGCGCUUGCAACCAGACUCGGUCGUGGGGGCUCAGCGGGCAUGCGUGCCCGUGUACUCCCCCAUGCUCCGGGCCAGCAUCAGUUCUGGCGGUUGGUUAAAGGCCUCUGGAAUGUAUCGUCCUCCGGGACGUCUUAUAGCCAGGGGCGCAAUGCGGCCAGCCGGGACUGAGGAACGCGCUUCGGCACGGAUGCUGGCAUAAUGGUUGUAAGCGGCCCGUCUUGAAACACGGACCAAGGAGUCUAACAUCCACGCGAGUGUUCGGGUGUCAAACCCGUGCGCGCAGUGAAAGCGAACGGAGGUGGGAGCCCGCAAGGGGUGCACCAUCGACCGAUCCUGAAGUCUUCGGAUGGAUUUGAGUAAGAGCGUGGCUGUUGGGACCCGAAAGAUGGUGAACUAUGCCUGAAUAGGGUGAAGCCAGAGGAAACUCUGGUGGAGGCUCGCAGCGGUUCUGACGUGCAAAUCGAUCGUCAAAUUUGGGGUAUAGGGGGCGAAAGACUAAUCGAACCAUCUGGUAGCUGGUUCCUGC
rnacentral:rRNA from 1 species